AUGGAAGUUUUACGGUGUGGUUUGCAUAUAGAAUGUUUGUUGACACGAAGAAACGGUGAGAAGAUUGGCUUGAGGGAAACACUGGCGGAUCUAACCACGAAGCUGAAGCAAAAGCCGGGACAUCGCCAUGGUCUGUUCAAAGUACCAGGGAAUGUUAAGACCUUUUUGUGGAGAUUGGCCAAAUGCUCGAUCCCAACAGAAGAUGUGCGCCACAUGAGACAUAUGUCUGAUGAUGAUAGUUGCCAGUUAUGCAGUGCCCCGGACUCAUGGUGUCAUUCACUCCUAGAAUGCACAGCGGCUCGGUGUGUAUGGGCUCUGGGGAUGCAGAAAUUUUGCACCAUCUUCAGGUAA
rnacentral:rRNA from 1 species